rnacentral:lncRNA from 1 species
CCCUUAACUAUUUUCAGAAAAUGAGUGACUUCUCAGUGGAUAAAUCAGAAGGACGUUUUUCAAAGCUUAUUUCAACCCUCUGGUCAUCAACAUAGUUGACGCCUUGACUGUGGACACUAACGCUUUUCAUCUGCUCCAUCACUCUCCCGUAAUUCUUCCUGCCUGUGUGAAUUCCUGCUCAUUCUGGUCUGCUGUUGGAGUUACCCCUGGGAGAUUUCAUCCAUUUUCCGUGGCUUCAGUUACCGUCUGUAGGUACUCUGCUCCACUCUCUGCUGAUGGAACAGCACAGUCUUUGCAGAAGGCGAAGUACAGCUUCAGACACAGCGUCAGAAAACUCUUAUAGGAAAAACUUCAGUUAUGUUGCUUUCAGUUUACUGCCUGUUAAAUUUUUGCUUAAUAGAUCAUGAUCUUUGUGAAUUAAAUGAAUGCCCCUUGGAUCCUGGUGGCUACUUCAUUACUAAUGGAUCAGAAGGUUCUGAUUGUUCAAGAGAAAAUGGCAACAGACACAGUCUAUGUGUUUGCCAAAAAGGACUCUAAAUGCCUACACAGGAGAGUAUAGAUCAUGUCUGGAGAAUUCUUCUCGACCUACCAGUACUAUCUGGGUUAGCAUGCUGGCCAGAGGAGGACAGGUAAGGGCUGUGGUAUGAUACUGUUUGGGUUUAUUACUUUUGGUCUAGUUUUGUAAGUUACCAGACUGUGUGCUUAGUCAGAAAGUCUUUCUGGAGCCUAUUAUUACUGUUGUAUGGUAGGCAUUUUAUUAUUUGUUUAUUGCUGUGUAAAAAAUUACUGUAGUAGCACCAUUCCUCAUGGCACAAUUUCUGGGUGUGGCUUAGCUGGGUCCUCUGGUCAAACACCUCUCAUGAUGCUGCAGAGGCUACAGUCAGGGCGUUUGUCUGAGGGCUGAUUUGCAUGGUGGGCAGCCAGAUCCAGUUCCUUGCUGCAGGGCUUCCUUCAUGCAGUGGCUGACAGCAGGCAGCUGGCAUGUCAGGGAGAGGGAGGGAGAGCCCUGGAACACACAGGCAAGAUGGAAAUCAUUGACUUUGGUGUCUUCAUCCUCAAAGCAGCGGCCUGUGGUCUUUGUGAGAUGCAAGUCAGCAUGUCCAGUUGAUACUCAAGAGCUAACAGUGUAAGAGUGGGCAGGGCUCACCAGGCACUAUCUCAGAAGCCACCUGUCCCAGGCAUGUUGCUUACGGCAAUGUAAUCUAAUAGCAGCUAGUGUUUUUCUGUUUUCGUUUUUGUUUUUGUUUUUGUCUUUUUGGGGCUGCCCCCACGACAUAUGGAGGUUCCCAGGCUAGGGGUUGAAUCGGAGCUACAGCCGCCAGCCUAGCCAUAUCCACAGCAGCACCAGAUCCGAGCCACAUCUGUGACCUGCACCACAGCUCACAGCAAUGCUGAAUCCUUAAGCCACUGAGCAAGGCCAGGGAUUGAACCCAUGUCCUCAUGGAUGCUAGUCAGGUUCAUUACUGCUGAACCACGAUGGGAACUUCUAACAUUUCUUGACUAUGUGCUGUGUGCAGGUUAUGUUACUCAGAUUGCUUGAUUUAAUCUUUACAACUAUGUUCGAAAUUUGUAAUUAACUAUUUAAUUCCAUGUAAAUUUUUUAUUAAAAAUUUAAAAAUUAAAAUAUAAAAAAUUUUUAAAAUGUCAUACAUGCACAUUAAAAUAGUUUGAAAAGUACAGAAAAGAAUACACUAUAAAAAGUAGUCUUCCUUUGACCCCUAGCUCUCUUCCCUAGAGGUA